UCUAUAUAAUGCGGGUCACGACACACAAGCGGAAAGAGUUUAAAGUGUUGGAAGGAAAGGCGAGAGUUAGAUUAUCAGGGAACACCAUCAGCAAGGCAACGAGACGGAACCGAGGCGAGGAGGCAACUUAGGGAAGAAGAGGAGGGCCUUAUAUAUUCCCUGUUAUGUUUCUCACACUCUUGAACGGGGCAGGUUAGGUUAGGUAAGGUUUGGUUAGGUUAGGUUAGGUUAGAUAAGGUUAAGUUAGGUUGUUAGGUAAGGUUUGGUUAGGUUAGAUAAGGUUAAGUUAGGUUGUGAGGUUGUUAGGUAAGGUUUGGGUUGGUUAGGUUAGGUUAGGUUCGGUUAGGUUAGAUAAGGUUAAGUUAGAUUGUUAGGUAAGGUUUGGGUAGGUUAGAUAAGGUUAAGAUAGGUUGUGAGGUUGUUAGGUAAGGUUUGGUUAGGUUAGAUAAUGUUAAGUUGUUAGGUAAGGUUAGGUUAGGUUACGUUCGGGUAGGUUAGAUAUGGUUAAGUUAGGUUACGUUAGGUAAGGUGAAGGUUAGAUUAGUCUAGGUUACUUAGGUUAGGUUCGGUCUGGUGAGAGUAAAGUGAGUUAGUUUUGAGUAGGAAUCCUAAUGAGUGUUUUUCAGCACACUCUAUGGAGAUCUUGUCCUGGGGGGGGGGGGGGGUUAGGGGGAAUCUGUCUUGGGGCGUAUCAAGGUGGGGGUAGCGGUGUUUGACCAGGCCUGAAGGUGCUAACUGCGAGCGCGAGGAAAGACUAGUGAGGGAAAGGGAAAGGCAUUUGAUUCCUGUGUGUGUGUGUGUGUGUGUGUGUGUGUGUGUGUGUGUGUGUGUGUGUGUGUGUGUGUGUGUGUGUGUGUCCUUCAGGUGUAGCUCAAUCUUAUCAGCGUCAACAGGUAAAUAGUGAUGCUUGACUACCUGUUGCUGGCCUUAAUGAGACACGCACAGGCUAGAUUCUUACCUGCCUUCAGCAUCACCAGCAUCAUUCUUCUUCUUCUUCUUCAUUAUCAUCUCAUCCUUCUCCUUCUCUUUCUCGGUCUUCUUGUUCUUUCUCUUCAUCAUUAUCAUCAUCGUAUACUUUCUUCUUCUUUUCAUCAUAAUUAUUCUUGUGUGUAAGUGACCAGCAUCAUCCACACACACAAUCACACCAGAGAACUUUCCAUUAGCGACCCCUCCCAUUGAUCCUCGUAAUGGUGUUAGGAGGGAGGGAGAGAGGGCUGGAUGUGUGUGUCGUCACCUGCUGUACCCAAUGAUUGCUUUCGCCACCUGUAGUAUACCAUUGAUUCCCUCCCUCAGACCGUGACCAUUACCUCUAUCUCUCGUUGAUGACCGGGUGCACUCUGGUUAUGUGGUGAUGACUGGUUCUGCUGUAUGUUUCCUAAUUGAUGACUGGGAUAACAAAAUAAUAAGGAACAACAGAAGGUAAGGCUUAGAAGAAAGGAACAGGAGCCAAGAAGUGAAAAAAAGUGGUUAAGAGAAAUAGCUAAUCAAAAGGAAGAAGAGAAGGUGAGGUUUAGGGGAAGGAAAAUAGGAGAAAAGAUGAAUGAGGAGAUAGGGAGAGGGACGAGGAAGAAAGGAUAACAGCAGACUUAGGUGACACAAGGAAGAAGAGAAGGUGAGGUUUAGGGGAAGGAAAAUAGGAGAUAGGGAGAGGAACAAGGAAGAAAGGAUAACAGCAGACUUAGGUGACAAGGAAGAAGAGAAGGUGAGGUUUAGGGGAAGGAAAAUAGGAGAAAAGAUGAAUGAGGAGAUAGGGAGAGGAACAAGGAAGAAAGGAUAACAGCAGACUUAGGUGACACAAGGAAGAAGAGAAGGUGAGGUUUAGGGGAAGGAAAAUAGGAGAAAAGAUGAAUGAGGAGAUAGGGAGAGGGACAAGGAAGAAAGACUUAGCUUACGUGACACGCAGCGUUUGCCUUCAGGAGUUACUGUUAUGUGUGGCGGGGCGAGGGGCGAGGAGAACCCGUCGUCCUUCAGCGCCUUGAGUACCCUGGCGGCGGCUUCUCCAGUCACCAGGGAGCAACGGUGAAGAUGGUCGCGAUAACAUUCCGCGUCUCAACACCGAUUGGGGCCAUUUUCUUAUGCACUCCGGCGCCCAAGCACACACACAUUUGGCAGGGCUUUCGUACGAGUUGUGGGCGUUUCCUUGGGUAGUUGAUUGGUCUAUGUACCUAUCUUUCGGCCACCUCUUUGGAUUCUUUUUAGGAGCAGCGAGUAGCG